UACGGAGGGAGCUAGCGUUGUUCGGAAUUACUGGGCGUAAAGCGCACGUAGGCGGCUUUGUAAGUUAGAGGUGAAAGCCCGGGGCUCAACCCCGGAAUAGCCUUUAAGACUGCAUCGCUUGAACACGGGAGAGGUGAGUGGAAUUCCGAGUGUAGAGGUGAAAUUCGUAGAUAUUCGGAAGAACACCAGUGGCGAAGGCGGCUCACUGGACCGUUGUUGACGCUGAGGUGCGAAAGCGUGGGGAGCAAACAGG
rnacentral:rRNA from 1 species